CAGUAGCCGCGGUAAUACGUAGGGUGCGAGCGUUAAUCGGAAUUACUGGGCGUAAAGCGUGCGCAGGCGGUUUUGUAAGACAGGCGUGAAAUCCCCGGGCUCAACCUGGGAAUGGCGCUUGUGACUGCAAAGCUAGAGUGCGGCAGAGGGGGAUGGAAUUCCGCGUGUAGCAGUGAAAUGCGUAGAUAUGCGGAGGAACACCGAUGGCGAAGGCAAUCCCCUGGGCCUGCACUGACGCUCAUGCACGAAAGCGUGGGGAGCAAACAGGAUUAGAUACCCCAGUAGUCCCUGUCUCUUAUAC
rnacentral:rRNA from 1 species